UUUGAAACAGUUGGAAUUAAUUGUAAUUACUUUUGCGUUUCUAGGCUGAUGUACUAAUAAUAGAAACUGAUAUAUUUACUGAUAAUAAUAGAGACUAGCUCCUUCCAAAGAACAGAAAAUGUGGAUAAUAAAAGAUAAAUCUAGAAUCCUGUAUGUAGAUGCAUUUAACCUCUGAUCCACACCCAUUUCCUUUUCCUCGCAAUUCAUGCCCCCCCAUGCACACUACCCAUAUUUCCUCUUAUAAUCUCAUUUGUUUCCAGUUGAAUUCCCUCCCAGUAUUCCUUGCCAGUUAUGCAGUAGGCUUGACAACAUGAAUAUCUCCUAGUCUAUGCUCCUCUUAGCAAAUAGAAUAAAUCAUUUCAGCCAAGGUCUAUGUUAACAGCACUUGUAUUUGACAGGAGAAGGUUAAAUGCUAUGAUAUUGCAUCAGAAAAACGUAUAGAAUUUGAUAGAGCAAUGGCAGAAUUUAACAAGAAAAUGGAAAGUGGGAAGUUUGACGAAAUUGAUGAGGAAUAGCUAGAGUAACGGCAGAGUUUGAUGACAAACUAGUGCUGAGACUUAAAUCAAACGAUGGAAUCAAGAGAUCAGUGCAGCAGACUAAUUCAAGAAAGAAACUCAAAGCAAAGCAAAAGUUUGAUGCUAUGAAACAAAAGAAACCUCUUUCGGGUUUCUUCUACUUCUUGUACAGCUACUUUUGGUCCCCCUUUUCUUUAUUUAUUCUGAUUACAUGUGAUCUUUUAUGAGGUGUUAGCUAUUUUGUGUUUCUCAUGUGUAGAAUUGUUUGUGGAAAAUGUUAAUUUUAUCAGAAUUUAGCUAGUUUCCUGUAUGUUUUAUAGAUAUCUACCAUAUCCAUAGCUAGCUUGGUAUAUUUUGAGUUUCUGAAAUAUUAAGCUCACUUGAAAGGUAGCAAAACACCAUACAUGAUUUUUUGUAAAAGUUACCCUGUAAUGUCAUCUCUAAAGUAGAUGGGAUUCAUUAUUAGAAUGAACAAACUUGACUGAUGUUAUAUGCUUACUUUCUUUUGUCAUCUGGCUGAUCCUUGUAAUAAUUUACCUUUGUAAGUAAUGUCAUCUCUAAAGUAGAUGAGAUUCAUUCUAUUUCAUACAUUUUUAUGCUUUUCAAUGUAUGCAGGAUUCGAUAGUAGAAUAUUUUUAGCUUUAGAGCAAUAAUGUUGAGGAGGUCAUUAUUUGAUGUUAGCAUAUAUACAAGUCAAUUUUGAAUGCAUCACCGCGUCAUGUUCAAGAGUAAAAAAGACCAUUCAUUUUUAAACAUGAUUUUCUUGUGAUAGUUUCCUUUCCUUGCUUAGAGCUUGUUUUAUUGUUCUAUGUUCAACUUUAAUAUACUGCUAUUUACUUUAUGUGUAGCACUGCCACUGAACCUUGCAUCGUGACUAUAUUUAACAACCAACUGCUUCUUUCUUAUAUGGAAAGUCUUGUCUUCAAAUUCAUUAUGUUUACUUGAAGUUCUUUUUCAUU